GCAAAACAAAAAGAAUUAAUUAAUCAUACCUGAACCGGUACGCGAAUACAUACAUUAAUUUCCAUCUGUAUAAAUAUGUGUACGUACACAAGGUACAUAUGUGGACAUUCAACACGUGGCAUAUGAACUUGCGUCGCUUCUGAUGCCGAGAGCAGCGCAGCAUAAAUAUUAUCAUCGCUAUGUGUGUUCGCUGCGUCUAAGAAGACCGAAGAAGGAGUUAUUAAACGAUUUUACACAUGCGAUAACACGAUUAUGAUGCGGAAACUAAUGAAUCACGGAUGGAUAGAUG